rnacentral:rRNA from 1 species
AUUGAACGCUGGCGGCAUGCCUUACACAUGCAAGUCGAACGGUAACAGGUCUUCGGAUGCUGACGAGUGGCGAACGGGUGAGUAAUACAUCGGAACGUGCCCGAUCGUGGGGGAUAACGGAGCGAAAGCUUUGCUAAUACCGCAUACGAUCUACGGAUGAAAGCAGGGGACCGCAAGGCCUUGCGCGGACGGAGCGGCCGAUGGCAGAUUAGGUAGUUGGUGGGAUAAAAGCUUACCAAGCCGACGAUCUGUAGCUGGUCUGAGAGGACGACCAGCCACACUGGGACUGGGACACGGCCCAGACUCCUACGGGAGGCAGCAGUGGGGAAUUUUGGACAAUGGGCGAAAGCCUGAUCCAGCCAUGCCGCGUGCAGGAUGAAGGCCUUCGGGUUGUAAACUGCUUCUGUACGGAACGAAAAGCCUCUUUCUAAUAAAGAGAGGUCACGACGGUACCGUAAGAAUAAGCACCGGCUAACUACGUGCCAGCAGCCGCAGUAAGAC